AACAAACGCUGGCGGCGUGCCUAACACAUGCAAGUCGUACGAGAAAGGGUCCUUCGGGGCCUGAGUAAAGUGGCGCACGGGUGAGUAACGCGUGGAUAAUCUGCCCUUCAGUUGGGAAUAACUCAUCAAAAGGUGGGCUAAUACCGAAUAAUGCUGUGAGACCUCGGUUGAUCAGCCAAAGAGAGCCUCUGCUUGCAAGCCCUCGCUGAAGGAUGAGUCCGCGUACCAUUAGCUAGUUGGUAGGGUAAUGGCCUACCAAGGCGACGAUGGUUAGCUGGUCUGAGAGGAUGAUCAGCCACACUGGAACUGAGACACGGUCCAGACUCCUACGGGAGGCAGCAGUGAGGAGUCUUGCGCAAUGGGGGCAACCCUGACGCAGCAACGCCGCGUGAGUGAGGAAGGUCUUCGGAUCGUAAAGCUCUGUCGGAUGGAAAGAACCGCAUAGGGGUAAACAGCCCCAGUGUCUGACGGUACCAUCAAAGGAAGCACCGGCUAACUCCGUGCCAGCCGCCGCGGUAACAC
rnacentral:rRNA from 1 species